UCCCUAGUGGCUCAGACAGUAAAGCAUCUGCCUGCAAUGCAGGAGACCUGGGUUUGAUCCCGGGGUUGGGGAA
rfam:TPA: Bos taurus chromosome 14, whole genome shotgun sequence.